AACGAACGCUGGCGGCGCGCCUAACACAUGCAAGUCGAACGCGAAAGUGUAGCAAUACAUGAGUAAAGUGGCGCACGGGUGAGUAACACGUAGGUGAUCUACCUUUGUGAUCGGGAUAACCAGUCGAAAGAUUGGCUAAUACCGGAUAGAGCGCACGAUUCGUAAAGAGUUGUGCGGGAAAAGGAGGCGUAGCAAUACGCUUUUGCACUGAGAUGAGCCUGCGUCUCAUUAGCUAGUUGGUAGGGUAAUGGCCUACCAAGGCAUUGAUGGGUAGCUGGUCUGAGAGGACGAUCAGCCACACUGGAACUGAAACACGGUCCAGACUCCUACGGGAGGCAG
rnacentral:rRNA from 1 species